GAUGAACGCUGGCGGCGUGCCUAAUACAUGCAAGUCGAGCGAACGGACGAGAAGCUUGCUUCUCUGAUGUUAGCGGCGGACGGGUGAGUAACACGUGGAUAACCUACCUAUAAGACUGGGAUAACUUCGGGAAACCGGAGCUAAUACCGGAUAAUAUUUUGAACCGCAUGGUUCAAAAGUAAAAGACGGUCUUGCUGUCACUUAUAGAUGGAUCCGCGCUGCAUUAGCUAGUUGGUAAGGUAACGGCUUACCAAGGCAACGAUGCAUAGCCGACCUGAGAGGGUGAUCGGCCACACUGGAACUGGGACCCGGACCAGACUCCUACGGGAGGCAGCAGUAGGGAAUCUGCCGCAAUGGGCGAAAGCCUGACGGAGCAACGCCGCGUGAGUUAUGAAGGUCUUCGGAUCGUAAAGCUCUGUUAUUAGUGAAGAACAUAUGUGUAAGUAACUGUGCACAUCUUGACGGUACCUAAUCAGAAAGCCACGGCUAACUACGUG
rnacentral:rRNA from 1 species